GCCUUCGUGGUGUAAUGGCCAGCACACUCGGAGCAUAUUCGAAAGACCCGAGGUUCGAGUCCCGGCGACGGCA
rfam:Stegodyphus mimosarum contig21075, whole genome shotgun sequence.